UGGCCUACGGGCGGCAGCAGUGGGGAAUAUUGGACAAUGGGCGCAAGCCUGAUCCAGCAAUGCCGCGUGAGUGAGGAAGGCCUUAGGGUUGUAAAGCUCUUUCACCCGCGACGAUGAUGACGGUAGCGGGAGAAGAAGCCCCGGCUAACUUCGUGCCAGCAGCCGCGGUAAUACGAAGGGGGCGAGCGUUGUUCGGAUUUACUGGGCGUAAAGGGCGCGCAGGCGGCUCGUUUUGUCAGGCGUGAAAGCCCCGGGCUUAACCUGGGAACUGCGCUUGAUACGGGCGGGCUAGAGUGCGGGAGAGGAGAGUGGAAUUCCCAGUGUAGAGGUGAAAUUCGUAGAUAUUGGGAAGAACACCGGUGGCGAAGGCGGCUCUCUGGACCGAGACUGACGCUGAGGCGCGAAAGCGUGGGGAGCAAACAGGAUUAGAUACCCCGGUAGUC
rnacentral:rRNA from 1 species